GACGAACGCUGGCGGCGUGCUUAACACAUGCAAGUCGAACGAUGAAGUAGAGCUUGCUCUCCGGAUUAGUGGCGAACGGGUGAGUAACACGUGACUAACCUGCCCCUUUCUCUGGGAUAACGCUCCGAAAGGAGUGCUAAUGCCGGAUACGAACUCUGAACACAUGUUCGGCGUUGGAAAGUUUUUCGGAAAGGGAUGGAGUCGCGGCCCAUCAGCUUGUUGGUGAGGUAACGGCUCACCAAGGCCACGACGGGUAGCCGGCCUGAGAGGUCUACCGGCCACAGUGGGACUGAGGCACGGCGCAGAAUACUACGAGAGGCAGCAGUGGGGAAUAUUGGACAAUGGGCGAAAGCCUGAUGGAGCGACGCCGCGUGAGGGAUGAAGGUCUUCGGAUUGUAAACCGAUUUCAGUAGGGACGAAGCGAAAGUGACGGUACCUAAAGAAGAAGCACCGGCUAACUACGUGCCAGCCGCCGCAGUAA
rnacentral:rRNA from 1 species